ensembl:lncRNA
GGUGGCUAUAGGUCACAUGCUGGCUUUCCACCACUCUAACUCCAGCUCCUGUUACACUUCUCUUUACACAGUUGAUAUCUUUUCUUCCCCUCAGCAACUGUGAGUUAGAUAUUAUCUGCACUUUAUGUUACAAACAAAGCUCAGAGAAGUGAAGUGAUUUUUCCACGUCAGAAUGGAGAGCAGGCUUCCAGGAGGGUGAAGAGCAGGGCUGCCAUGUUGCUUCAGACCAUGGUGAACCAACCUCAGGGAAAACAGAAGGAAGAGGAAAGAUUCUCAUUGCGGAGGGAAAUCUCUACAAGCAGCCUGUUAAGUAGUAAAUGUUACUGCUGUGCCUGAACGGAGUUAUCAUCCACGGGAAGCGUCAGCUGAUAAGGUGUACAACACAGAGUAGGUCGUCCCACCUGCUGAGCUUGGAGGCAAUUCCUUCAUCAUCUGGGGAGAUGUGCAUUCAACAUCAUCGUCCUUCCUCUCCUCCAAAUGCAACCUUGGUUUGCACGGUAGUUGGGCCUAUUCUGGAUGUCGGCUCUGGAAAUUCCACUCCAUCUACUCUGAGUGAAAACGGACUUGGUUGGGAGAAUCUCAGGAUGUGUGGCUGAAUCCAGCCUCAGAAAUAAAGCCAGGCAGCAGGACCAGAGCUGGCCUGGGGUGCUGUUCCAAGCCGGGAGUCUUUGCUCUGUGUCACUUAUUCAUGCUUCUCUCUUUGCUGUUCUGUCUUGCUGUAGUCCAGCUUUCUCAGUUUCCCAGUUCUCGUGGUGGGACGUGGUCACCUCUACCAGCUCCCAAGGGUCCAUGCUACAGCCCAGCCAUCUAGAGAGAGUCUGCCCUCUUCCCCGAAUGCAGCAUCCCUCCCCAGACCAGUCCACUGUAAGCAGGGGGUAGGUCACACUUUAACAUGGAACUUUGGCUGCAACUCUAUGGAUGGGGUGAGGAAGGAUGAAUUUCUAGAAAAGCAAUAGUAGGAAGAUAACCCAAGAGAUGUCCAUUGCAUUGCUAGCAAGAGCCCAGAUUCACCCCACAAAUGGAUAGCAAGCUCAGGGACUCCCGCCAUCUUGUAAUUCAAGUUCUGACAUUGAAGCCCAUAAAUACCUACAAAUGAAAAGGGGCUGUGAAGGACAGAGAGCGUGUAUUUCUGAUUCCAUGUGGAGCUGUGACCAGAUCUGAGUCCCGCACACUCACCACCUCAUUCUCAGAGCUUGUGCUGUUGAUUUAGUCUUGGGGGCAUCACUCCUCGACCCAAACCAGGUUUCCUUUCCCCUCUUUGGCCCGGCUCCUCACUAAGUAAUAUCCACAAUAUACCAGGGGCUUGCAGCCACAGUGAUGAAGCUGCUGCCCCUCGAAAACAUUGCUUCUCUACAUUAUCUCUCAGCCUCCCAACAACCCCAUCUUCUAGAUGUGGACUUGAGGCUCACAGAGGUUGAGCAAUUUGCUAAGGUCAUAUUGAUAGGAAGAAGGGAACUGGGACUGGCUCUCACACAUUUCUAGCUCUACAGCCUUUAUUUAUUUCAUAACACUACACUAGUCCCUCCACACAACAACACAUCUCAAGACCAGGGUGUCAGCAAGAGAAAACAGGGAAACAAUGGACAAGAAAAUGGGCCCGUAAUUUCUACAUUCGAAAAAGGAUGUAGAAAUGCACGGGUGGACCCGACGUCUGCUGGAUUCUUAGUUGCUGUGGCCUCAGGUUGGCUUAGAACUGUGUUCCAUAACUGCGGAAGCUCAUAGUCCUCUUCUGGAUGGGGUGGAUUUCCAGGGGGCUUUUGGGCCCAUUUUCCCCUUGUCACUCAGGUUCUGUGGCCCAUGGGUGCUUUCUACGUGGGACAUAGCAUUGACCCAGACAUGAAAACACAUUCCUUUUCUUAGGUAACAUCCUGAGCCUAAGUAAAACACAUCCACACAAAGUUUUCCACUAUUGCGAACAUAGUAAUCUUCCCGGAGGAUGUGGAGGUGGGCUGAAGACGGGUUUCUACCCGUCUACACAGUCAGUCUAAGGUUUGACAUUAGUCACUCCCAUACUUACAUUAUCUUAUGGUCAUCACAUCCAGGGACAUUUCCACUCACUCCUCACCCCAUAGAGUCCCCUCACCACUUGCCAUCUGCAGAACUCCCCUCUCUCCCUCUCCUACCUUUUCUUGAGUGUCAGGGUAAAACACGCGGUCUUCUCAUUUUCUAAUGCUAAUAGCUGCUAGAUGCAAACCGGCUCACUAUUCUGAGCCUAUCUUAUAGUCCCUGGGUGGAACCAGAGCCUCUGCUCGUGGAAAGCCCCCUCCCCUCUCUGCCCUGGGGCCGCUCUCUCCAUUCUCCCCAGGUCUAGCAUCCUCUGUCCACCUGGAGCUGAAGCCGCUCACAUCAGUACCUGCUGUUGGAAGUCAUCUUUCUCUGACAGCACUAGCUUGGCCCUCCUGCCUGGAGCCUCCAGAAGCAGCCAUCCCUGAGGAGAGAGAGAAGGCAUUUCCUCCAGGUGGAGCAGCCAAGAAGAAAAGCUCCUCCAGCUAAUGAUCUCUCCACAUUGGCGGCAGGAGGAGACGAUGGUUUCUGGCAGCCCCUGGUGUACAUUAUUUCAACUCCCUGACCAACAAGAAAGAAAGAGUGUUGUGAUCAUUGGUUCACGUGAUAAUGCUGAGGGCGGAAAGCUCCCCCUAGACCACGAUUUCUGUUCAAUGUGAUGGAGGCAAAGGGGACAACUCCUGUAAACUGACAGCACUUACCGGUUAUGCUCUCCUGCAUGAGCACCAAGGACCUGGCCACGUGAGUGUGACCAUCAGACCCCGGCAGGGGUCAACACCGGUCAUAGGCCUGCAGAGCUGGGCCGAAGAGCAACGCCGAUCACAGCAGGAACAGCAGUUUUAGAAGCUCCAGGCGCUAAGUGUUCUACACGUGUUAUCUUCCUUGACUCUCCGAGCAGCUCUGGAAGCAAAUUCCUACGUCUGAAAAUGCGAGCUUGCGCAUGGGGUGGGUGCCGCUAUUUCCUCGGGCUGCGCACAGUGCGUGGGCGCAGGCCGAUUCCUGGGCCUCUUCGGUUGCUCUGUGACCCGCACGCUGGGCCUCUCUAGGCCAGGGGAUCUCUCUAAGCUGUUCACGGUGGUGAUGGUGACAGGCCUUCCAAAACCAGCCUGGAAAAAAGUGCCAAGAGCCCACCUCACUGUCAUCUCAGGACAAAAUAACUGAGCUCUGAGAGAGGGUCUGUCACUGUUCCAGAUUCUUAAGGAGAGUCCAGGAACGUGGAAGAAGUUCAGAACUGCUCUGCCUGUGAAGAGGCAGGGUGCGUCAAGACUCAGCUGGAUGGAAGGAUGGCAAUGGCGUGGGUCAUCCUUGCCAUUGUAGCAACAGGUCUCAAUUACUGAGCGCCCGCCGCAGGCCGGGCACUGUACCUGAGCCAGUGGGGCGUAUUGUCAUCCUAGACCCCUGUAGUCUUCGUGACCAUCCUCCCAGUGGGUGUUAGCAAGCCUUUUACAGGGUAAAGUCCUGAGGCCAGAGUGUAAAUACCUGGACAGGGUCCUACAGAGAGCGAGUGG